CUGAAGCAUUGAAUAUUCAAAUCCAGAUGAGAUGGCUUCCAGGUAGAAGCAUUGUAAUUUUGCUUAAAAGAACUGCUCACAUUCAUCUCUCAGUUCAUAGGAUUUGAAUUGGUUUCCAGUCUGGCUUAUCUUCUGGGGCUUGAAUACAUAUUUAAGCCGUAUCAUUCCAGGCAUACUGAACUUCAUUCAGGUCAGUGAGAGAAUUACUUCUAACACUUGUUUUUAUGUUUCAGGAUGCUGUAAUGAUGAGUAGGAGGCUGUUGGGAACCAGAGUAUGAGUCAAGCCAACACUGAAGAAGCCUAGUGAAAGAUGGAAUUUGAUCCCUGAGUCAAAGUACCCAAAAGGAAGACAUCCUUUAUCUUACAAAUAUCACAAUCUAAUAACUUCCCCUUAUGCUUAAGCCAUUAAAGUUUCAGUACUAGGCAACCAAAUGAACCCUAGCCCCUGAAACUCUAAAACUUUUGUAUAUGCAGGAAUCGUUUAGGGUUGUUAAAAGGCCAUAUUCAGUCCUAAGGUGGAACACAGGACCCAGGAACUGACAUUUUAACAGCCAGCCCCAUUGAGUCCGAUGCAAUUCCUAAAUUGGCCUCGCUUGAGAAACUCUGGUAUAAUUGAGCAAUACAUGAUGCCCAUGUUAAAAAAAAAAAUCAGAAAUACAGUGUCAACACAGCAACAAGUAAGGAGCCCACCUUUGUUGAUUCUGGUAUGGCAGAAGAGAAUUUAUCUGAGGAAUCAAAUGUAGAUCCCACAGUCAGUGUUUUCCUGUCUCAGGAAUCCUUACCUCAUUUCUUGUGAGAAUUUCUUCCUGCUCUGUAUUGCCGGAGAGUGUAUCUCUGCUUGUUGGAGACUGCAUAGGGUCCACAUGUUCCAGUAUAAUUAUUAGUAGGAGUUCCUUCCCUUCUUAAAGAGCCAGAGUUGGAUGAUAAAUAUGCCCAUUUCCCUGCAAUCAGCACACAAAACAAAGUUCCUUGUCUUUCUUGUAGCAUUUUCCAAACCAGUCACACAUAUAUGUAUAGAUGUAAUAUAUGAAUAAAUGCAGCAUAUGUUAAUAUAUUUUACAUAUAUUAUAGUGCACACACACAUAUGUAGCCUUUAGUAGAAGGGAACAUGUUAUCUCAAAAUUGUUCUGGCCAUGUGUAGAAGUCUUUCAAAUCUCAGAAGCCCAAGUGCCUUCAGAGUAGUAUGUUAAACUUACAGUAAGUAGGUACUUACAGUUGUAUGUACACAUUCUAAAGUCGUCUGAACCGUCAAUCACCCUCAGGGUUGGCUUAUUCUAAGAAAGCUUUCUACAAACUACAGUAGGUAGCAAUGACGAAUGCAUUGGAAAUGCUUCAAAUAUAUUAUGAAUAUGAACAUGGGUGAAGAUGAUGCCCAUCAGUUUGUUCUUUCUCUGGAGUCUCAACUGUCAAGAAUUUAUUCUGGAACAAUUAUAUCUCCGGUUGCUUAAUAAAUGGACAUAGUAUCAGAGAGACAAAACUAAUGUGCUUUUGCAAGUGAAGGAAGUGACAUUAAUGUCAUUGCCAUUUAUGGAAUGGGGGAUUUUUCUGGAAUUGUCUAUUGCCAGGUAGGCUUCUACAAAAUUAAUCUAAUAAAACAAUGCAAACCUUGAAUUGCUUUGUCUUUACUAAUGCUAAGUCCAAAUAUUAAAUAAACACAAAAAUACCUUUUUGUGUUUAAUGUGUGAUUAAGGAAUUUCAGAUUCUGAGUGGUGCCCUUUCCCUCUCUUAAGAUACACAUAUAGUUGUCAAAUAUUCUAGAAAGUAUUAAGGCUCCCUAUUCACAGUUUUAAUAUUGGAGGAAUUUAGAUCAGUGAUUUCUGCCUAACAACUGUUAUUUCAAGAUAAUUGGCCGACGACUUGUUUGGUUCUGCUCAAACACAGCUGUAAGUUGUUUAUUUCUAUAUUUGGAGGUGGAGUGACUGACGGCUGGCAUCAACCAUCUGGAAGAGGGUGUGUUAGGUGAAAGGCGAGAGGACAUACCAUACAUAGGCCCAUUACAUAGCUGGGGAGUCAUCUUUAGAUUAUCUCUAUCUGGCAUCCUCACCACAAUCAUUAACUCUGUGGCCAUAUGGCUAAAAGAAUGACGACCUACAUGAAGAUAGUUAGUUUUAUCCAUUUUUUUUUGGCUCACAGCCUGACCAAGACAAAAUGAAUAGGACAGAAUGCCUUCCAAAUGAUGUAGGGUAUCUGCAGAUCAUGGACUUUUGGGUCAGAGGGACCUAAGUUAAAUCCUCAUCAGUUAGCUGUAUAUCCUUUGACACGUUUUCUAAGUUUCCUGAUGUUUGGUUUUCAGUUUUCUUUUUCUAUUGCACAAAAUAGAGGCCUUAAUGAUCAUAUUUUAAAAUAUAUAUGUGUGUAUUACAAAAACUAUCGAAGAAAGCAACAGUUAUAAAAGUACGUACUAUCCAAGGCUCACAUGAAAAGUGGAACCAUUGCUUGAAUGAUUCCACAGGUAAAUAUGUGAAGGAAUGAAGGAGUGAAUUCUACAGUCAAUGAGGAGCCAGUAUGCAAGGACUCAGAAGUCCAAGUGUGAAUGUGCUGAAGGAGUCUGCAUUGUUCUGGAGUGCAGGAAAGACUGCUGACUUAGAGUUUUAUUGAUUUUUAAUAUCCCUUCUUAGAGCAUAUAUGGUGUAGCACACUUUCUACUUUCCUAAAAUCAAAUUCAUCAAUAAUAAACUACACCCAUCUAUUUAAGAUAUUGUCAUGACAUGACAUACAAAGCAUACAUGUUAUGGAAACAAUGCAUCAUAAGAUAUUUUCAGUAUAUAAUGUUCAGUUAUAGCUCACAAAGAAGUAUAAUAAAGUGGCCAAGUGUUUGCGCUGAAAUUUAUAUUUACUCUUUAUGUAACAUCUCCAAUACAGACUGGUGCGUCCUAGCUGUACCUCAAAUACUUGGGGAUAGCUUAGCUGUUGAAGAUCUGGUAUUUUAAAGCUGAAUAACAUAUUGCUAAUGUUCAGAAAAAAAUGAAUGAUCUUCGUUUGUGUUACAUAGUUGCUUCAUUCUUGAAAUAUAGAUUAAAAUCUUUCAAAGUAUUUACAUGUAAAAUUUAAGUUUUAUGUACAAUUAUAGACAGGUUUUUCAAAUGUAUGAGUGUCAUCGAGAAGCUGUAUGUGACCUAUGGAAAUGCUUCAGUGUAUAGACUUCACUGUGUAUUUUGUUAUACCUAGCAGCUCUUGUGUCCCUCCUUCCUAAAUAGUAGGAGUGUCCUUCUGCAAUCAGAUGUCAAUGAAAAAUACCCUCUCUCCUAUUUCCAAUGCACACUGUAUGGGAUGACAUGAAUUCAAAAGUGACACCCUGAACAAUCCAUUCCAAUCACUCCUUUGCACAUGAACACAUUUCUAUUUUUGUUCUUUAAACUUGCUGUGAUGAAAUUGCUUCUAUAAAGUCCCAAUUAAAACAGAAGAGUCAUCUGUUGGGAUAAAUUGGUAAAUCCUCAACCAAUAGUGGAAAGUGAGUACAACUGGGUUAUCUUUUAUGUUUUAAAGUACAAAAUUACCCUUGUGUUUCAUUUAAGUUAUUAAAACUUCAGUAGUAUAUAAUAUUUUUAUUAGUAAGCAGGGGGCUCUAUCAGGCAUGGAUAUCAUUAAGGCCUAGGUUAAAAGUCAGAAACUUGAUUCUUGGUACUGAUACUGAUGCUGAAAAAUAUUUGUUUUAAUUUGAAUAUCCUUAGCUAUAUUAGAUAAAAUGUCCUAGAUAAUUAAAUGUAAUCAGCAUUGUUUUCAGCCAAUUUGUUUCAAGGGAAAUUCAAAAUAUGAGUUUCUGAUGUUUUUAUCUUAUUCAGUGGUAUGUUGACUGUCUCUAAUAAAUAUUCCUGAAUGUGUGGAUUAAUCAGUUUGGGCAAUAUAAUAUUGUGUAACAAUAACUCUCAGUAAAUAUCUUUAUGCAAUAAAUAUUUUUCUUAUAUAUUGGUUA